rnacentral:lncRNA from 1 species
GUUACGAAUCGGAAUCGUAUGAGAAUUGUAGUUCCUCGUCGUUAAGACCAUUGAAGAUGCGGAGGGAGGGUGAGGGGACGGCCGCCAUUGUGGAGAAACUGCGGAGAUUCGAGCAACAAAUUGUGACUGUGAGAGAGGAAAGCAUGGAGGCGUCGGCCAUCAUAUUAGGUCUUUGCAAUCUCACCCGGGAUUGAACACCCUUUUCCUUUUGUUUAUGUUUAAUUUUUUUUUUUUUUUUUUGAAUUACUAAAACUUCCAGACUCGUUAUUUCUGAUCAUUUCAUCCUUGGUUAAGUAUUUCGCUCAUCUGGAUUCUAGUUGUAUUUUUUUUUAAUUCCAAUUUUAAUUAGAUCAGAUGAUUACUUCAAAUUAGUUAAUUGUUGGUGUAAAAGUUAGUAAUAACAACGGAUGUGACAAUGCCAAUUAAAAUUAUUAUUAAUAUAAUCUCCAUUUUAUAGAAAAUUAUUAUGUUCAGUGUAUUACCAUAAAUGAGAAUUUUCUUACCAAGUGUCAUAAAUUUAAUCCCAGCAAAGUAUCUAUAAUUCUGUUGUGAUAUUGAUUCACCUUUCUCCAACACCUCGUGGUAGAAGACGAGAACUGGUGAUUAGUCGUUACCAAUCUGCAGUAGCUACUGCACUCUAAUUUAAGUCUCCUGCACACAUGCAAGGAUAACAAUCAAAACUUAGAAUGAAAAGAAUAGGAAAAAAGGAUAACAAUCGAAACUUAGAAUGAAAAGAAUAGGAAAAAAGGAUUGCUAAAGAAUAGGAAAAAAGGAUAGCAAUCGAAACUUAGAAUGAGAAGAAUAGGGAAAAAGAAUGACAGUUAGGAUAAGUGAAUUUGUAAUCCACUCUUUUCCCUUGCUACACAACAACCACAAGUGUCCAAUUGAGAGGUCAGAUUUACC